AGUGAACGCUGGCGGUAGGCCUAACACAUGCAAGUCGAACGGCAGCACAGUAAGAGCUUGCUCUUACGGGUGGCGAGUGGCGUACGGGAGAGGAAUACAUCGGAAUCUACUUUUUCGUGGGGGAUAACGUAGGGAAACUUACUCUAAUACCGCAUACGCCGUACGGGUGAAAGCAGGGGAUCUUCGGACCUUGCGCGAAUGAAUGAGCCGAUGUGGGAUUAGCUAGUUGGCGGGCUAAAGGCCCACCCAGGCGACGAUCCGUAGCUGGUCUGAGAUGAUGAUCAGCGACACUGGAGCUGAGACACGGUCAAGACUCCUACGGGAGGGAGCAGUGGGGAAUAUUGGACAACGGGCGCAAACCUGAUCCAGCCAUACCGCGUGGGUGAAGAAGGCCUUCGGGGUGUAAAGCCCUUUUGUUGGGAAAGAAAAGCAGCAGGUUAAUACCCCGCUGUUCUGACGGUACCCAAAGAAUAAGCACCGGCUAACUUCGUG
rnacentral:rRNA from 1 species